rnacentral:rRNA from 1 species
AGUGAACGCUGGCGGUAGGCCUAACACAUGCAAGUCGAACGGCAGCACAGGAGAGCUUGCUCUCUGGGUGUCGCGUGGCGGACGGGUGUGGAAUACAUCUGAAUCUGCCCAGUCGUGGGGGGUAACUCAGGGAAACUUACGCUAAUACCGCAUACGACCUUCGGGGGAAAGAGGGGGAUCGCAAGACCUCUCGCGAGUUGAUGAGCCGAUGUCGGAUUAGCUAGUUGGCGGGGUAAUGGCCCACCAAGGCGACGAUCCGUAGCUGGUCUGAGAGGAUGAUCAGCCACACUGGAACUGAGACACGGUCCAGACUCCUACGGGAGGCAGCAGUGGGGAAUAUUGGACAAUGGGCGCAAGCCUGAUCCAGCCAUACCGCGUGGGUGAAGAAGGCCUUCGGGUUGUAAAGCCCUUUUGUUGGGAAAGAAAUGUUGCAGGCUAAUACCCUGGGAGGAUGACGGUACCCAAAGAAUAAGCACCGGCUAACUUCGUG